GUGUUUCCUAGGGGUCCCUAUGAUAGUUGGCUACAUUGCAUGUUUUCUCUUAGCUACUUCAUGUAGCUAACAUAUUCUUGUUUUGCAUAAUCCUCUUUGUUUUAGAAGAUACUGUCGGACAAACAACAUAAUGAUUUAGGUCUACACCAUCACUGGUAUUAUCAGGCUGUGUUAGCUAGCUAUGUUUGCUCUUACUCAGUACGUUUAUUAGCUGUCUAUUAGUGGUUAACAAUUAGCGUCUCACAAGAUUUAGGGCAACUCGCUAAGAAAAGACAAACUAGCUUUUUGCUGAUGUAAGAAACACAAACUAAUAGUAUAAUUUAUAGAACGCUAGUUGAUUUAUAUUAAGAAGCAAAGUGAAAACAGCAUUGUUGUCGUCAACAUUGUUGCAUGUGGUGCAUUGACCAUGCAGACUGAACGCAAAUGUCUAGCGGUUGAGGAACAUCAAAUGCGCUCCUUGAGUAACAGGGGGCGUGGCUAGGUCUGUGUGGAAAGUGGCACGGCGAGAAUGUGGAGAGAGAUGACUCAAGUAGUGAAGUAAACCAUAAUUGACAGUACCCAUGGCUUAUAACAUUUAACAAACCAAACAUUCAAAUACCGGUAUAGAAGGUCAAGUAAAAACCCAAACCUGUCCCUGCAUCAAUACCGGUAUAUUAUAAAAUACGUAUACCUCACAGCCCAAAUUCAUUUCUAUUACUGUUACUGUUAGAUAACUGGAAGGAUUUAUGUGCAACCAUUUAACAACAUUGAGGUAUCUAGCUAUAAGUAAACUCUGAUCAAUCAAAUUAAUCCAUGUAAAUAAUUAUUAUAGCUGGGGUCAUCAUCCGUUAAGGUAAAUAUAAAACAUCUCAGAUAAUAACUAUUUGAAUUUGCACAUAAAAUAACCUAACACUGACAUUUUUCUCUUUAUGUCUUCAUAAAGGUUAGCUCGGUGGAAGCCAACAAUCUUCUCCAGUUGGAGCAGUUGGACGGUUGACCACUGAAAGCCCUGACGCCCUACACUUCGGUGAAGCCUGUGAGACAAAGACCGUCAACUGUCCAAACCACCCAGGAGGUAUCCCAUCCACCAGAGCCAGGAUCAGUCUGAUUCUUUGUGCUCUUGAGUCGGAAGGGGACCAGUUUGAGGUGCAGCAUCCAGAAGUAGGAGGCCUCCUCGCGGUGGGCGGCAUCGCCAUGCUGUCAACAGUACCAACACUGGCCCAGGGGUUUAUCCAGAUAGUCAGUCUCAAGGCUAACCACUGGUUCACGGGACCUCUUUGACUGUGGAGUGGGCAGCAGUCCAGAAGUAGAAAGGGGGCACAGAUUGUGGGCUGUUUGCUAUUGCUCCCUGCAGAGAUGAGGAACCCUCCAUGGCACGAUACGAUCAGAAAUCCAUGAGAAAACAUAUUUCCUCUUGUUUUCAGGCUGGUUACCUGGCGCCAUUACCCAGUCCCAAUUCCAUCCCGAUUCCAGCCCCCCCCUGGGUCCAGGCCUCUCAAGGUGUCCACACCCUACACAACAGAGGUCAGCAUCCACUGCUUCUGUCGGAAAUAUGUGAGAGAAGAUAAGGAGGUGGCCCGGGGCUGGAGAUGUUGCAAGCAUUUUCAUGCAUCGGUUUGUCUCAUGUCGUCAAUGUGCGUGAAUUUGUCUGUCCAUAGUCCGUCAUCUGUUUUGUCUGAUGAUUUCCUAACCCGUUUUCACUGCUUGCCCGGCUCCUCACCUCAAGACGGUAGGUAUUUUACCACAUUGCAUCUUGUUGUAUAUUGUAUGUUAUUGUAAAUAACCUUAAUAACCUGUUGAGGGUUGAGUCAUCACCAUAUUGCUACACCUAUCCAAGCCCCAUCAGGUCAAACACUACAAAGAUAGAGUAGGGGGUUGAGGGCCUUCAUUAAAGGUUGAGGGCGUCUUCAUCCUUUAACUCUUUCUCUCCUCUCUCUCCAGACGAAAUUCUUCGUCUAGUGACUUCUGAUUGCCCAACAAUCUGCCCACUCAUCCCAUCCCCUCCUCUGUGUCAUUAUAUCAUUUAAAGCUACUGUUAUUGUCAUGAUGUCAUUAUCUGCUAAUAAAGUUUGCU
ensembl:lncRNA